rnacentral:rRNA from 1 species
UCGAGAAUUUUUCACAAUAGGCGAAAGCCUGAUGGAGCGACGCCGCGUGGGGGAUGAAUGGCUUCGGCCCGUAAACCCCUGUCAUUCGCGAGCAAACGUUAUUAUUUAAAAGAUGAUAGCCUGAUAGUAGCGAAAGAGGAAGGGACGGCUAACUCUGUGCCAGCAGCCGCGGUAAUACAGAGGUCCCAAGCGUUGUUCGGAUUUACUGGGCGUAAAGGGUGCGUAGGUGGUGGGGUAAGUCGGAUGUGAAAUCUCCGAGCUCAACUCGGAAAGUGCAUUGGAAACCGACAUGCUCGAGGGUUGGAGGGGGGACUGGAAUACUUGGUGUAGCAGUGAAAUGCGUAGAUAUCAAGUGGAACACCAGUGGCGAAGGCGAGUCCCUGGACAACUCCUGACACUGAGGCACGAAAGCUAGGGGAGCAAACAG